GCAAGUCGAGCGCGCCCUUCGGGGUGAGCGGCGGACGGGUGAGUAACGCGUGGGAAUAUACCCAAAGGUACGGAAUAGCCUCGGGAAACUGAGAGUAAUACCGUAUGUGCCCUUCGGGGGAAAGAUUUAUCGCCUUUGGAUUAGCCCGCGUUGGAUUAGGUAGUUGGUGGGGUAAUGGCCUACCAAGCCUACGAUCUAUAGCUGGUUUGAGAGGAUGAUC
rnacentral:rRNA from 1 species